rnacentral:RNase_P_RNA from 1 species
GUAAGACAGAUGGUCGCUGCCACGGGACCGAAAGGCCGUGGGAGAGGAAAGUCCGGGCUUCACAGGGCAGGAUGCCAGAUAACGUCUGGCGGAGGUGACUCCAGAGACAGUGCAACAGAAAUAAACCGCCGGUUCGUCCGGUAAGGGUGGAAAGGCAGUGUAAGAGACUACCGCCUGGCUGGUAACAGACAGGGCACAUGUAAACCUCAUCCGAAGCAAGACCGAACAGAAAGCAUAAGGCGGCCCGUCUGCUUUCGGGUAGGUCGCUUGAGCCUGGUGGUGACAUCAGGACUAGAUAGAUGACCAUCCAACGACAUAACCCGGCUUAUCGUCUUACUCGU